GUGCCAGCAGCCGCGGUAACACGUAGGGGGCGAGCGUUGUCCGGAUUCAUUGGGCGUAAAGCGCGCGCAGGCGGCUCGGAAAGUCGGGUGUGAAAACUCGGGGCUCAACCCCGGGCGUGCAUCCGAUACUGCCGGGCUUGAGGCAGGUAGGGGAGAUCGGAAUUCCUGGUGUAGCGGUGAAAUGCGCAGAUAUCAGGAGGAACACCGGUGGCGAAGGCGGAUCUCUGGGCCUGUCCUGACGCUGAGGCGCGAAAGCUAGGGGAGCGAACAGGAUUAGAUACCCUGGUAGUCC
rnacentral:rRNA from 1 species